GGCCGUAGGCAGUGCUUUAAUCUCAGAGGCUGCAAGGUUUAAAGCGGCCACCGCAGCGAGCGCUCGCAGCCGACACUGUUUCGGAAGCGGAGGAGGAGAGAACAGG
rnacentral:lncRNA from 1 species